GCGCGUGUAGCUCAGGGGUUAGAGCGGUUGUCUUAUAAACAACAGGUCCCUGGUUCGAAUCCAGGCACGCGCA
rnacentral:tRNA from 1 species